GUAGCCGCCCCUUCCACCCCGACUCGAUCGUCGUCAGCCCUCGAGAGCCCCAUGCAGCUCGCCGAGGAUGGAUGCCGUCCCCCGAGGGUCCCGGGCUCUCGGUGACAUCGUCUAGCGCCUUCGGAGCCGUCAUCCUGAAGAAUGGGGGGCAGCGGGUGCGGGCUCGGGCCUCGCCCUGUGCAGCUCUCCUGCCGCCAGGCCGGUCCUCCUCCAUCCGGCAGGCCCCCUCCGACCUCCCCUCCUGGCCUCCCCCGUAGGAUUCUGAGCACAGAGCCCACAGCCCACCCCGCUUCUCCCCGGAUCCUCGUGCCCGGCUCCAAUAAACUCUAGCCCUAGCUGCCUCGUGCUGUGUCUUUGGUGUUAGCGGAGAUGCCUCCUCUUCCAAAUCUGAGAAGUCUUUCUGGGGUUUGGCAUUUGUCUCUUGCCAUGGGUGGGUUUUGUGGGCUUUCUCCCUUCUCUAGGGGACUCUUUUUUCACUGCCUUUGUGUAAAUUUUAGGUUAGGGUGGGGAGAAGAGGCUUAUCACUACCAGGGCCACUGAAGGUCAGACAGCAUGAAGGACUUUCCAGUUUUUAAUGUGCUUGGGACACAGAAAAGUGCCUUUCUGAAGAAAGAAAUUAAAAAUAAGUAAACAAAGAGGGUCUUCCCCAACAGUACGGGAGACAAACUGGGUUCUGAGAAUUGCUGUAUUUUAAUCACAUGUUAGGAACAGAGACUAAAUCACCCUGACGCAGAAGGCAGCUAGGAAGAAAGGGUGUGUGCCUUCUUCCAGGUGUGGAGGGUGGACAGGGGUGGCUGUGGGGACUUUCUGCUUCUCUGGAAACCUGCCACCGACCGUGAGUACAGCCUCUGGUCGCGAUUGCUGCUGCUGAGCUAUGGCUGAGAAACUCAGGGCGAGCUUCUGGGGAAGGAGUCAGGGGUAGUUGAGACCUGGCCCUGGGCAGGGCCUGGGAUCCUGCAUGCAGAAAGUAGUUUUCCUGCCCGGCUUCCCCCUCAAACUGGAGACUCUCCCAGGAGAGUGAGGCUGAGCUUUCCCAGAUGGACAGUUUGGUCCGGGGAUGUGGAGGAGAGGAGUGUCAGUUACUCAGCGGGCCCCAGCAUUCCCCAGAGGGCUACUUGGUCAGAAGUGGAAUGCAGGAAGCCAGCGCUCUACACUAGCCAGGCUAGACGGUGUCCAGGGGCACAGACUUGGGGCUGAGUUGCCCAGAUUCAAAUCCCAGGUCUUCCUCUUGUUGCCUAUGUGACUUCAGGCAGGUUACUCAACCUCUCUGGUCCUGUAAAAUGAAGAGGACGGCACUUACAUAGUUCCUGUGAGGACUCCAUAAGCUAGUGACCUAAAGCCCUCAGAGCAAAGCCACAUGUUCUCUCCACCACCUCUGUCCCUCGGGGCUUUAAAAACCACAGCUAGGGUCCCACGGGGUAUCAAGUUAGUCCAAGGCCCUGGACCCAGCGAGUAGUGAGUUCAGGGGAGGCUCUGCUCCAGCUGGUCCCUUCUUUCUAGUUUUUAAGUUUCUUGGCUCCAGUUGUCACCAGUCUCCUGCUCUGUCUGCAUCUUUACCGUCUCCUCGCCCCCGUGCUGUCUGUCUGCACCGUCUGUCUCUCUGGUGUCUCUCCAUGUUGUCUCUGUCACCGCUCUUCCCCCUCCUUUCCCGCCCCCUGCUCAUUUCUCCCUUGGUCUCAGCCUCCACACCUCUGGCUCCUUCCCUUUCUUUGCUUCUCUUCCCUUCUCCCUCUUCUCAACUUCUCUUUCAGUCCCUCCCUUAAUCUUUCAUUUUACAAAACAACAACAGGUUUUUUUUUUUUUUUUUUUUUUAGCAGGUACAGUGUGCAAGGACUUACAAACACUGGAGCACAGCACGGAACAGAGCAGGCAAAACCUGCUGCUCUCCGAAGCCCACAAUGCAUAUCAUCAGUAACUCACAUGUGUUACGUCAGGUAGCCACAGCACAGAGGAAAAAAUGAAACAGCAAAGGUGGCAGGGGAGAUAGGGGAGCUGGUUACUGGACCUGGGCAGGCAGAUCUCUGGGGAAAGAUUGCUCCAGGCCAAGGCAAGUGCAAAGGCCCUGCGGCUGGAGGGGCUUGGCUGGUUAUUGAUCAGCAACAGGCAAGUGUGGCCAGAGUAAGAGGGAGUGAAGGGAGAGAGGAAGGAGGUGAUGAAGGGCAGAAUGCUCAUGGCCUUGUGGGCCUCAGUAAGGACUUUGGUUUUUACUUGGAAUGAGGCAGGAGCCGUGGGAAGCUUCUGAGCUGAGGAGGGAUGGUGCUGACUUGGAUAUUGGCCACCGCCUCUGGCUGCCAUGCAUUGGGGACCGUCGGCGCCACAGCCGAAGCUGGGAGGCCAGUGAGGGGGUGCUGACAGGAGAGGGAGAGAAGAGGUUGGUUCAAACCUCUCUGGAUGGUGGUAAAAUAUACAUAAAUUACCACUUUAAAGUCCAAGUUCAAGGGCAUUGAAUACAUUCCCAUGGUCUUGCACACUGCUGUCUUCCCACGCUGCAACCCCUGGUCCCUGCCUCCCUGGCCACGCCAAUCUACUGCCUGUCACUCUGAGUUGCUCCGCUGCACACAUUCCACAUCCUUGGAAUCCUACACCGGGCCAUCUCUGGUGUCCUGCUUCCUUCCCGCAGCACUGUGGCUUUGAGAUCCAACCUGUGACCCUGUGUAUCCACACACCACUGGUCUCCAUGGCUGAGCGACAUGCCACUGUACACGCAGACCAGUGAUGUGCCCUCUGCAACCUGCCACUGACUUCCCACCUUUCGCUGUCCAGGGGAACCGCAAAGGGGUCAACUUCUGCCCUUCAUAGGCUUUAGGAUCUCCAAAGGAUUCCAGAAACCCUCCUAUGCCAAGAUGAUACCAGGAAAAUCAAACUCUGGCCGAGAGGACGCUAUUUAAAGCUUCGAGAGACUUCCUGUGAGAGAACCGGAGACCAGCCGCCAAGCUCUCCCCUGGGGGUUGCUCUGGCUUGAAUUUUUCUUUUUUUUUUUCCUUCCAAAAAGUCAUGUAGAAACGCAGUUGCUAUCUUGGUGCGUUAGGAGGUGAGCCUUCGGGAGGUGAUAGAUAGGUCAUGGGAGCUCUGUCCUCCUGGUGGGAUUAACGCCCUUGGAAAAAGAACAGGUGCUGUUUUACGCCACGUGACAACGCAGUCCUUCCUCCGUUCCCUCCAGCACACAGCGUUCAAGGCGCCUUCUUGGAAUCGGAGCCCUCAGCCUGCCUGCCCUUGACCUUGGACUUCUCCGUCUCCAGAUCUGGAGCUAAUACGUUUCUGCUAAUAAACCCCCGUCUGUCUGUCCCGUUACAGCAGCACCCUGCCCUCCCACAGAGCUUGGUCCUGACCUUGACGGUGAUGGCAUUAGGUCGCAGGGCCCUUUGGGACUACUGCCUUACAAGGAGGCCACCGCUAGCCAGCUGGCCCCUCCACCCAGCCCUCCGCAGGCAAGUGGGCCUCAGACACAGAAUGUGCCUGUGCCUUGGUUUUGGACCUCCCAGCCUCCCAAACGGGCAGAAAUGUUUCUGGUGUUUAUAAGCCACCCAGUUCAGGUAUGUUGGUGACAGCAGCCCACAGGGAACCUGCCUCGGCUCUGGAACUGAGGUUCUGCCCUUCUUGGGCAAUACCCAGACAGGCUGCCAGGCCUUUCUCUGUCCACUCAGUAGUAUCCAUUCAUGAAGGUGGGGUGACCUCACAGCUGCCUGUGAGGCCCCACCUCCCCAUACUGUUGCGUUGGGAAUGAAUUUCUCAUGCGUGAAUUUUAAAAUUUUUAAUUUUAAUUGAUUAUUCACUGAGUUGUUGAGGGUCUCGAUAAGUUGCUGAGGCUGGCCUCAAACUUUCGGUCCUCCUGCCUCAGCCUCUGGUGUCACUGGGAUUACAGGCAUGCGCUACCGCACCCAGUUCCCGCACACUAAUUUUGGGGAACACAUUCAAACAUUAGGAAUACUCCAAAUAAUUAAAAGCAGGGUCUCAAAGAGGACCUGAGUUUCUAGGAGCCAGGCCUGGUGGCCCACACUUGUAAACCCGUGACUUGGGAGGCUGAGGCAGGAGGAUUGCCAGUUUGAGGCCAGACUCAGCAAUUUAGUGAGGCCCUA